AAUGGUUGAUCCUGCCGGAGACCACUGCUAUCAGAGUUCGAUUAAGCCAUGCGAGGUAUUGCCGCAAGGCAAACCGCACUGCUCAGUAACACGUGGUUAGCCUACCCUCAAGUCUGGGAUAACUCCGGGAAACUGGAGAUAAUACCGGAUAGGCAAAAGAUACUGGAAGGUUCUUUUGCCCAAAGCUUCGGCGCUUGAGGAUGGGACUGCGUCGGAUUAGCUUGUUGUCGGGGUAAUUGCCCGACGAGGCGAUAAUCCGUACGGGUUGUGAGAGUAAUAGCCCGGAGAUGGAUUCUGAGACAUGAAUCCAGGUCCUACGGGACGCAGCAGGCGCGAAACCUUCGCAAUGCCUGAAAGGGUGACGAGGGAACUCUGAGUGACUUCGCAAUGCGGAGUCUUUUGCCGAGUGCAAAAAGCUCGGAGAAUAAGUGGUGGGCAAGACAGUUGCCAGCCGCCGCGGUAAUAACUGCGCCACGAGUGGUGGUCUCGAUUAUUGGGCUUAAAGUGUCCGUAGCCGGCCUUACAAGCAUCUGGUGAAAUCCGGCAGUAAACUGUCGGGCUGGCUAGAUGAACUGUAAGGCUAGGGACCGGGAGGGGCCGGGAGUACUCCUAGGGUAGGGGUUAAAUCCUUUAAUCCUAGGGGGACUACCAGUGGCGAAGGCGCCCGGCUAGAACGGGUCCGACGGUGAGGGACGAAAGCUGGGGGAGCGAUCCGGAUUAGAUACCCGGGUAGUCCCAGCUGUAAACGAUGCCCGCUUGGCGUGGUGAAACUUUCGGGGUUUUGCCGUGCCGUAGCGAAAGUGUUAAGCGGGCCGCCUGGGGAGUACGGCCGCAAGGCUGAAACUUAAGGGAAUUGGCGGGGGAGCACUACAAGGGGUGGAGGCUGCGGUUUAAUUGGAUUCAACGCCAGGAACCUCACCAGGGAAGACAGCAGAAUGAUGGUCAGCCCGAAGGGCUUACCUGACACGCUGAGAGGUGCUGCAUGGCCGUCGUCAGCUCGUGCCGUGAGGCGUCCUGUUAAGUCAGGAAACGAGCGAGACCCGCGCCUUUAGUUGCUACUUUCCUCUCCGGAGGGAAGGCACUCUAAAGGGACUGCUUCUGCUAAAGAAGAGGAAGGAGCGGGCUACGGCAGGUCUGUAUGGCCCGAAUUCCCUUGGGCUACACGCGGCCUACAAAGCUUGAGACAAUGGGAUGCAACACCGAAAGGUGAAGCAAAUCCCCUAAACUCAAGCCCAGUUCGGAUCGAGGGCUGCAACUCGCCCUCGUGAAGCUGGAAUCCCUAGUAAGCGAAGGUCAUCACCUUUCGCUGAAUGCGUCCCUGCUCCUUGCACACACCGCCCGUCAAGCCAUCUGAGUGGAUUCUUGGUGAGGCCUACUCGUAGUAGGUCGAACCAAGUUUCUGCAAGGAGGGC
rnacentral:rRNA from 1 species